rnacentral:rRNA from 1 species
CCUACGGGAGGCAGCAGUGAGGAAUAUUGGGCAAUGGGCGAACGCCUGACCCAGCAACGCCGCGUGGAGGAUGAAGGUUUUUGGAUUGUAAACUCCUUUUGUGGGGGAAGAGUGAGGACGGUACCCCAAGAAUAAGUCACGGCUAACUACGUGCCAGCAGCCGCGGUAAUACGUAGGUGACAAGCGUUAUCCGGAAUUAUUGGGCGUAAAGCGCCCGCAGGCGGCUGUUCAAGUCUGACGUGAAAUCGCUCGGCUUAACUGGGCGGGGUCGUUGGAAACUGAAUAGCUUGAGGCAAGGAGAGGGGCGUGGAAUUCCCGGUGUAGUGGUGGAAUGCGUAGAUAUCGGGAGGAACAUCAGUGGCGCAAGCGGCGCCCUGGCCUUAGCCUGACGCUCAGGGGCGAAAGCGUGGGGAGCGAACGGGAUUAGAUACCCCGGUAGUCCACGCCGUAAACGAUGAACACUAGGUGUGGGUGGGUUCAAAACCAUCCGUGCCGCAGCCAACGCGUUAAGUGUUCCGCCUGGGGAGUACGGUCGCAAGGCUAAAACUCAAAUGAAUUGACGG